rnacentral:rRNA from 1 species
GACGAACGCUGGCGGCGUGCUUAACACAUGCAAGUCGAACGGAAAGGCCCUGCUUUUGUGGGGUGCUCGAGUGGCGAACGGGUGAGUAACACGUGAGUAACCUGCCCUUGACUUUGGGAUAACUUCAGGAAACUGGGGCUAAUACCGGAUAGGAGCUCCUGCUGCAUGGGGGGGGUUGGAAAGUUUCGGCGGUUGGGGAUGGACUCGCGGCUUAUCAGCUUGUUGGUGGGGUAGUGGCUUACCAAGGCUUUGACGGGUAGCCGGCCUGAGAGGGUGACCGGCCACAUUGGGACUGAGAUCCGGCCCAGACUCCUACGGGAGGCAGCAGUGGGGAAUAUUGCACAAUGGGCGGAAGCCUGAUGCAGCAGCGCCGCGUGCGGGAUGACGGCCUUCGGGUUGUAAACCGCUUUCGCCUGUGACGAAGCGUGAGUGACGGUAAUGGGUAAAGAAGCACCGGCUAACUACGUG